CCUUGAGUGGCUGAGCCAAAAUAAGCAUUAGACUUUUAAUCUAAGGACGGUAUAUGAUACCCUCUAGGU
rnacentral:tRNA from 1 species